ACAGCAAUAUCACAAUGAAGCAACGGUUCUCAUCCGAUCACCGGUUAAGCAAUGUUGAGCCUGGUCAUUAACCUAGAUGGGUGUCCGCUUGGGAAUACCAGGUGUUGUAA